rnacentral:lncRNA from 1 species
AAAAUCCAUAAAAAAAUAGAAAAUCUAGAAAAAGAAGUUGAAAAAUAAAAAUCAGAUGAAGAAAAAUUUAAGAGAAUUUUAGAAAUUAUUUUGGUAUUUUUUGAAUGAAAAAUGAAUUUUCUAUGAAUUUUAAAAGAAAAAGAAAUUUAAUAUGAAAAAAUAAAAAGAAAUAAAAUCAGUAAAAACACGGAGCGUUGGAUC